AAAGGAAUUGACGGGGGCCCGCACAAGCGGUGGAUUAUGUGGUUUAAUUCGAUGAUACGCGAGGAACCUUACCAAGACUUAAAUGGGAAUUGACAGGUUUAGAAAUAAACCCUCCUUCGGGCAAUUUCCAAGGUGCUGCAUGGUUGUCGUCAGCUCGUGCCGUGAGGUGUUAGGUUAAGUCCUGCAACGAGCGCAACCCCUGUCACUAGUUGCUAACAUUUAGUUGAGGACUCUAGUGAGACUGCCUACGCAAGUAGAGAGGAAGGUGGGGAUGACGUCAAAUCAUCACGGCCCUUACGUCUUGGGCCACACACGUAAUACAAUGGCCGGUACAGAGGGCAGCUACCUAGCGAUAGGAUGCAAAUCUCGAAAGCCGGUCUCAGUUCGGAUUGGAGUCUGCAACUCGACUCUAUGAAGCUGGAAUCGCUAGUAAUCGCGCAUCAGCCAUGGCGCGGUGAAUACGUUCCCGGGCCUUGUACACACCGCCCGU
rnacentral:rRNA from 1 species